GGAGGGCAUUUCAAAGUCAGGCAGCCUCGAGCAGCAGCGUUGGCGGGAGGGAAUAACUCGGCUCCCACCGCGCUGAGAAUAGCUCCGAAUUGGGUCAUGCUCACCGCACUCCGGUCACAGCCUCCAGCCUUUGACAGUGUGUCAUUGGCCGGCGCUGCACGGCACCGUGUGACAUCCUGAUCCAGGAGUCCCGUGCGACCCGCGCCUCUUCCCCGUGUUCAUCCCCCCCACAUCGGCUGUCGUCCUCACAUUUGCGAGAAAGGGGACCUAAGUGGGACCCAAGCGGCCAACGAGGUGUGACCAUGGACUUUCUGUGGUUUGAGCGGCGGCGGCGGAGCAGCAGGUUCUUGGAUAUGUAUUACGCACCAGGAGCUGAGGACACUACUUCUCGAGAAGAGUUCAUCGAAAGGACAUGGCGAGUGUGGAAGGCAGUGUGGGGUGGCCUGGUGCAGAGUGAGUGAGCUGAGGCCAGGAAGCUGCGGGAGGAAGGACACGUGCAGAGGCCAUGCCCACUGUCUGUCCAGUUUCCUUUCACUGCGGGGCCUAGGACACGUCUGCGGGGCUGAGCGGGCCGCCCCCGCCUCCGGGUGAUCACCACUAAGACCUCCGCAAGAAGAGACAAGACGGCAGAAACGUGCUCAAACAAGGCUAGAAGCAGCGCAAGCAAGGUGCUGCUUUCAUGUAACAGGCGUGCAACAGGCAGGAAACUGCCCCAGGUGAGUGGGGGCGGAACAGGGAGGCGGCGGGGGGCUCAGGGGGCCCCCAAGGACUAACGGGUCAGAAAUACCAACUCUCUGCUAAUGAGAAGGCAAGUGUCAAUGGCAAUCUUAAGUGAAGCCUUGGUGGUGGGGGGGGCGGGGGGCAGUUCUUGCCACUUUCCCUGCUUCUCUACAGUGAGGUCAACCCCUGUGCGCCCGGCUGCAUGGGCGCAGCGAGAGGCCAGGCCUCCCCUGGGCUGUUCCCUGCUGCCCACACUUCAGGUGUUGCUCACAUGGAACAGUGAUCCCUUCACCUGCCACAGGACCCUGGUCUGUGCUCAGGGCUGCCACCUCCUUCCCCCACUGCCACCAACUGGACCUGGGGAGCCCGCCUUCCCCAAGCCUGGCCCACUUUGCCAAGACAUUAUUCCUUACCCGGGUCGGACAGUAAAUGAAGGUGAAUCAGAACAGAACUCACACCUCAGACUCACAUCCUUUCUCACCGCAAAGAUAAGCUAAGAGAUUUUUAUUGCAUUAAUAAUUAAGGGUAUACUAAUAUCUCAAAAUACUGAAUUACUUCAGACAUACAAUUACAAUAGUCAUACAAUGAAUGGAGGGGGGACAGGAGCCAACACGCUGGAGUAACACAUCUGUAUUGUACAUCAAAAUCAAUGGCAAACACUUCUCUAGUUACUCUUAGAAAAAUACUAGACGCGUUAAAAGCUGAAAAGCUUUGCUUAAAAACAACCUAUAUGUACAAGAUAAGCUUUGACCCUCAAAAAACAGAUAAAAAUUGGCAAAAACAAAUGAGAAACACUGGUUAAGCGUCUCGCAGUGCUGACCUGUAUCAGAUACACUACACCAAGGCAUCGUAGCAAAAUAAAGCAUUCCACUGUACUUAGUAGACUUAUUCAUUACAUUUAUUUUCAUAACUGCUUCUCUAUAGGGCGAUGGACUUUAGUCUAAUUUGGGUAAAGACUGACCUGAAAGCAAAGCUGUCUGCAUGUGAGGUAAAGAAAGCAAACAUUCCCAGCCAGUUUUUGCAUGAACAUGGAUUACACCGUUUAAUGCAGACCCAAGGCCAGACAUUUUUUUGGGGGUAGGUUUUAUUUCCAUUACAGGUUCUCUUUACGUAAGAUCAUAAAAAUACAAUACAAUGUCAUGAGCUCAACUUAGUUACAAGCGGCAGGCAGCCCCUAUUAACACAGCUCCCAACGAGGGACGAGAAAAGCUAAACCCGGUGUCACUAGGGUUCCUUAUGGGAGAGUCACCCGGUGCAAGGAACUACAACAGGUUGGACAGGAAACGUCAUGCCUCAGAUCACUCGAGGAUGAUCUGAUCAUCUCCAUGACCAAAAUAACCCACAGGAGAAGUCUGCGAUGGCUUGUGAGCUCCCUCCGCUCACGGGCCAGGCUCCGGGCCGAGCUCAGCUGCACGAGCCUUCUCUAGGAUUGCAGAACGCCUUGUUUGAAAAUGAACCAUAUGGGAAGGUCCCUUUUGGAAAAACAAUGGAUACUUUUAAAGGAAAUGCUGACAUUUAACUUUUAAAUCUGACAUUGAAAAUGAAGUAGAGCCUGGGGCAGGACAUGCCUGACGAGCUUGGGAGGAAAGCCUUGCCUUCCCAGUGGGGUAAACUGAGGCAGCACUUGAAUAUAGAAACUCCAGGAUUUUAAGAGCACCCAAAGAUGAGGAUACUUAGCCCAAAAUGAGCUGCCAGUGACCUGCACUAAGAAUCUCCAGUUGCCAAGGGCUGGAUGUGCACAUGGGAAAGGGUCGAGGCCCAGAGACACAAAUGCCCUUGGACUUCACUACCCACUGAAUCGUACUAGAACAUUGCUAGUAGGAAAGACACAUCAAGGGCUUUUAAUUAUUGGGCAAAGCUGAGACAAAGUGAAAAUCUCUUUAGAGCCACGCUUUUAUCAUCUCUCUGGUACAUGGGGCUAUUUCUAGCUGCCUACAGUUACCAAAUCACGAUCUUUGAAAGGAAAUUACAGACUGCUGCGGAGUCCGAAAGACAUACUCUAAUAGGAUUAUUUUGUGAAAGGUGACAACAGAAAGUGUCAUCUGUUCGUUAUCAUACUGGGACCAAUGUGUUAUCAAGGCACUUUGGAACUUUGGGAAAUUCUGUUCCCAUAAACUGGCAGCCAUAAAACUUGGACCCUCAGAAAGCAUUUACAGAAAUAGAUGUACCCUUUAGCAAGUGAAAAAACACUUCCUGCAGGGACAGACCUUCCUGACUCUUUCAGGUGCUAGAGAAACAUCCGAGUGCCAAUGAAGUGAGCUCAGUCCCAGAGUGCGAGGUUUUCAGAUGCUAGGAGCAGCCGACCUCCCCGGGUAAGCCACGACGCUCUGGUCCCGCAGAGCUACUGGCGGUUUCUGCUCUUGGCCACUACCAAACAGCACUUGCUGUGUUUAAAAGACCCUUGAACAAGAGAGGCAGCCUGUUGCCUCCUACAUUCAGACGCAUUCGCUCAGGACAACCUGAUAGCGGUAACUAAUCUCCAGUUUUAUCUUGCCAGAGGUAUGGCUGUUUCUUUUUUCUUCUUUUUUUUUUUCUUUUUUUUCUUAAAAGGUCUCCUAACUUCACUAAAAUGUUCCCAUCCUUACUGAUGACUACAGAAAAUUGUAAACUGAGUUUACAAACAAAAACUUGGAAGGUAAUUAGCUGGUGUUUUCAUCUUUCUUCAAUGCAGUCUCAAAGGUUUUUUUGCUAUUAAUUUUCAUAAUUUUCUUACGUUGCACAUGAAAAUAAGAUUUUCCCCUCUAAAUGCAGAGUGUAGGGGGAAAAUACAGACACCAUUUUCCAAACAAAAAAUCUUUAUGAAAAAACAGAAAAUCCGAAAACAAAAAAACCCCCACCCGAUUAACUUGGGUUGGACCAAUCGGGCCUUAAAAAUGAAGAAAAAAACAAACAAACAAAAACCCUUCUGCUUUAUUUAGCAUAAUAAAUCAUAUCAUUGUAUUGCUUUUGUGUUUGGACCUUACUUCUACCUAACCAAAAUUUCCCCUCUUCUCAUAAUUGUUCUAGUGCUCUGUCAGGUUGUGUGUGUGUCUAGAUCCUGAAAGAUCCACAUUUCAAUGCUGGCACAACCCAUUUAAAAAUGACAAAAGAUGCCCGUUCCACUUUCUGAUUGGAAAAAAAAAAAAAAAAGGACCAAAAAACCACACCACAA